ACCUGGUAGAGCCCUGGGGCCAAAAACUGAACUUAUUUUGUUUCUGUUUUCAUUUCUCCCUUUUUUGCCUUGUCAGUUGAAUAACGUCUCUGCUGAUUUCCUGGAGACUCAAGUCUUCCCGAUGGCCAUUUGUCACUCCCUCAGCUUCCAUGGCCGCUGGCUAUGGGUACUAAAAAAACACCAAGGUGAAGAAGAAAAAAUCAGGAAAUAAUGUUUAUCUGAAUUCGCUUCCAGAAUUUCGACUCAAUUUGGAAACUGAAGCCAAGUGGCAAAGUAAAGAUUUUCUUUCCAUGGAUCAUCUAAUUGCCCCAAAAAGGCAGCCCUUGGGAGUGUUGCAGAUUUUAAGCAUUCAAGAACAGAUACUGGUGACUACUGUCUUUGAUUUUCCCAUGCCUACUCCUUUGUCCCUGCGUUCUGAGAAAAUAACACCUACGUCACUUCAUUGACUUGCUGGGAGGACCAAAUGCAAUGCUGUACACCAUUCGAAAGAAAGGCCAUAGCAAUGACCAAAAUGGCUUGCAACAAAAGGAGACUGUCAGCGGAGAGUCACAUGUCCAUUAAUUCUCCCAGAAAGGAUUCUGAUUUAAGCUUCUGGUAACUCAGGGGUUCCUUGGCUUGUGGCUGCACCCUACAUCCCCUGCCUCUGUGGUCACGACAACUUCUCGCCUGUAUCAAAUCCCUUGCUGCCGUUCUUUACAAAGACAUUUAUGAUUGCAUUUAGGACCUGCCCGGAUAAUCCAAGAACAUCUUCCCAUCUUAAGAUUUUUAACUUAAUCACAUCUGCAAAGAUGCUUUUCCAGGAGGUGGAGCAAUCAAAUACAAUCAGUUCAUAUUGAGACAACUUCAACUUGACACAAAGAAAUAUUCUAUGUGCUUUCCUCUGGUUGAUUUCCAGUUUCAGAAGUCCUAGACUGCUGGCCCUUACAACUUUACCUGGAUGGGAGUCAUAAAUCUCAAGUCAUUGAUCCUCAAACGUGUCAGGUCCUCCUCACAUUCGAAGGGUUCUAUCUUCUGUCCUUUCUCUUUUUUAUCUUCUAUGGGCAUUCUCCCUCAAGAAAUCUCUUGUACAUCGAAUUUCAACCUGGUGUCCACCUCAGAGGACACGAACUGACACCAUUAAAGAUUUCACAGGUGAGUUUGUGUCAGCUCUUUCUUUAAACUGAAGUUUGGCUAAUGGGUCUGAUGCUAAUGAUAUUCACCCACAUCAUAUUGCCUUUUUAUAUGCCUAGUGCUCCAUCAACCAAUCUUUGACUCCUUAACCCGAAUUUCAGAUUGCGGCCAUCUAGUUUUAGUCACUUGCCAGCACCUUGCAAUAUUUUCCACCUCCCCUCCUGACUUCAGAGCGUUUUUGCCAAUGUUCUCAUCCACUACCACCCUACCUACAUACCACACGCUACCCAUACAGAUUCUCUCAUUCCUAGGGCAAACCUUUGCUUAUUAUCUUUUCCCUGUCUGAAAUACCUUUUGCCCCAACUAGACGUAGGCAUAUUUCUUAUUAAUUAUUUUGCUGAUAUGACAUUGACAACAGAAACAUAAAACUUGUAAUAUACUAUACCAAUGAGGGCAUCUGUGAUAAACUAGUAAAUAAGCAUCAUUAAUUCAAAAAAGCAUGUAAGAUUAAUCAUUGUUCCAGAAAACUUGGAAUGUCCUGAAGUAUUAUAGGCUAUUUAUGAAGGAAACUUGAUAUUUUCUCAAAUUUGACAAUUAUAAAAUUAACUAUUACCAAAUGAGUCGUGAAGCUUAUAGAAACUUUUCCAAAAUGCUAUUAUUAUUAUUAUUAUUAUUUAUUUAUUUAUUUUUACUGAACCAUACUAGAGAAAAGACUUACUUAUUAUCUAUUUUCUAUUGAAUUUGUUGUCCCCAAAUUUCAUAUGUUGAAGCCCUAACCAUCAAUAUGACUGUAUUUGGAUAUAGGGCCUAUGGGAAGGCAAAUAAAAUAAAAAUGAGGUCAUAAGAAUGGGUUGGUAGGAUUUGCAUCCUCAUGAGAGGAGAUAUCACAGAGCUUGCUCUCUCUUUCUCUUGUUUCCUGUCCUGCCUCUCAGCCAUGUAAGGACACAGUGAGAAGGCAGCUAGCUGAAAGCCAGACAGAGGGCUCUCACCAGAAACCAAGCCCUGUCAGAACCUUGAUUUUGGGCUUUAUAGCCUCCAGAACUGUGAGAAAAUUUCUGUUGUUUAAGCCACUCCAUCUAAAGCAUUUUGUUAAGGCAGCCCAAGUUGACUAAGGCACUAUCUUUCCCUUCUUUCUACAGAUCAGUGAUUUUCAACUGGGUGUGAUAUUUUUCCUCACAGGGAAUAUUUGACAGUGUCUGGAGACAUUUUUGAUGGUCACAACUGGGGGGAUGCUACUGGCAUCUAGUGGGUAGAGGCCAGAGAUGCUGCAAAAAUACCUAUAAUUCAUAGGGCAGGCUGUCUCCUCUUCCCCCCUCCCCCCAGCUGCUCCCACCAAAGAAUUGCCUGGUGCAAAAUGGCAAUAGUGCAAAGAUUGCAAAGCCUGAUAAACCAUGCUAUAGAAAAUCAUAUAAAAUCAUGUCUUAUGGAGAGGUGAUUAAAAAGGAUAUAGCCAAUUAUAUGGAAAAAGGUAUUAUAGGAAGAUGUUAAGUGGGUAAUAAAUAUAUUUUCUAGGUUUUGUUUGUGAUGUUUUCAUAUUUUUAAAACUUAUAAUUUAUACAUUCUUCUUUUCCUGAGUAAAAAUUUAGUUCUAAACCUGAUUUGGUACUCUUUUUUAUAAGACAUUCCUCAAAAUUUUAUAAUCUUCAGCUCCCCAAAUCCUGAAUUCACCCAGUUUACUAUUAUGAUUAAACACUUAUAUACAACACUAGUAAAUUUUUAUUUCAUUAUGAGUCUGGACCUCAACAUUAUAAUUUUAUUUUUUUGAGUAUAGUCUGCCCAUCUAAAAAUGCUUAGUAAAGUUUAAGGUAAAAGAACAUUUUUAUAAGUGGAAUAAAUGCUGUCAUUAUUGUAUAUGUAGGCAAGAGAUUUGGCCUUUUGCACUAAAUCCUCUUUGCCCUUUGCAGAAGAUUUUCCUAAGCUGUUAAAUAAUAGAGCAUUCAUGCAGUGUAUCUUGGGGUCUCUUCUUUAGUGGUGUAUGUUCACAUGGGAGUCGUCCGUAACUCACCCACAUCUUUCACCCCAGUCCUGAAAAUUAAUUAACACAUCAUGCCAGUUUUGAAAUUUCUCACAUAUUUCUCGUGAUCUCAUUAUUUUAUUUAGGGCCUCCUUCAUGCUUCCAUUGGACAGCUGAACGGUUUCCUUUGUGGAUCACCCAAUUCUACUUCGUAGUCUACACAGAACUUGUUCUUCAGAAGAAAUCUCCAGCAGAAGCCCAAUGAAUGACAUUGAUCCAACUGCAUCAGAGACUGUCAACCUCUCUGGGACCCAUUUCUGUGCCCCUCAGGCAGAGUUGAGUGCAUUCCUCUAUCGUCCAAUAGAACAUAAUGCAUUUUAUUGCUGACCUUAUCU